GAGAAGUGAGCGGAGAUGCUGGAUGCUGAAAAUGGAUGGAUAUAUACCCUCGGAAUGGUCGACAUCUCUUGAUGUUACUGUUAUUCAAUACGUUUGUGUGGUCUUACACGACGUUCGAUGGGGAUUACUUCAGUACCUCAAACACACUGAUCUCGCUCCUGAUGAACAUCUCUGCAGCAGAUGGGAAAGCCGAGCCCUGUACAACGAGUGGUCAAAGCCAGGAUUUCUGAUUGCCUCUACCCAGGAAAAUGACCACAUUAACCGUCUAAUAAGUAUACAAUCUGCAUAGGGCUGACUUCAGGGCUGGGAUUUGACUGGAGGAAAAUUACGUGUGGCCCUUUCGCUGGGCGGAUCGCUUGGGGCUGUUCGACAAACUUGUUUGUGGCUACCAUAC